GAGGGAGAGAGAGAGAGAGAGAGAGAGAGAGAGAGAGAGAAAGCAAGAGAAAAAGAGAGGCUGCCUGUCUAUAGAGGUCACGAGAAUUGGUUUCAGCAAAAAAAAAAAAAAACCUCUUCCAUGUCACAGAGGAACAAAAAGGCAUUGUUAAA